UCCCUGGUAGUAUAUCGGAUUAGUACACGCGCCUGUCAUUCUAAAUUGGCCGCGCGAGAGCGGGGUUCGACUCCCCGCCAGGGAG